rnacentral:tRNA from 1 species
GUCCCUGUAGCUUAACGCCAAAGCAUAGCACUGAAGAUGCUAAGAUGGUUUCUCACUUCCCAAGGACA